ACACCAGUUGUAACUGAGAGUGGGUCUGUGGGGAAGAUUCAUUCAUAGCCCAUCUCCAAACCAAUGGACGCCGCUCAAAUGCCUCUGGGCGCAAGUGAAUAGACCUAAAACCAAUCAAAGCGAUGAAGGAGAUGACGAGCAUGCUGCAGAGCUAUCGUCAUCGUGUAAAGCCCACCUCAACGGUUGUGAUUGGUGCCUCGAGUUGAUUUAAAAAAAUUGGAAAUGGGCUUGAAUGAGCUCUUGGCCAGACAGACUUGCAGAGCAAAUCUCAAAUUUGCC